rnacentral:rRNA from 1 species
CCUACGGGAGGCAGCAGUGGGGAAUAUUGCACAAUGGGCGAAAGCCUGAUGCAGCCACGCCGCGUGAGCGAUUAAGGCCUUCGGGUCGUUAAACUCUGUCCUCCGGGAAGCUAAUGACGGACCUUGCCGAGGAAGCCCCGGCUAACUACGUGCCAGCAGCCGCGGUAAUACGUAGGGGGCUAGCGUUCUCCGGAAUUACUGGGUGUAAAGGAUUCGUAGGUGGUUUCUUAAGUCAGAGGUGAAAGUCUACGGCUCAACCGUAGUAAGCCGUUGAAACUGGGGAACUGGAGUGUAGGAGAGGAGAGGGGAAGUCCGAGUGUAGCGGUGAAAUGCGUAGAUAUUAGGCGGAACGCCAGUUGCGAAGGCGGCUCUCCGGAGCGUAACUGACACUGAGGCACGAAAGCGUGGGGAGCAAACAGGAUUAGAUACCCUAGUAGUC